rnacentral:lncRNA from 1 species
UGGGUAUCAGCCUUGCAGCUCGGGACAAAUUAAAAUGCACACUUAAGUCUGUUACUAAAGACUCAACUAUACCUUACUCUAACAGUUCACAGAGUUCACCUGACUGCAUAACUAAAAAGCCUGAUGCAUGUCUUCAGGCAAUAACCUUGAUUUAAACACUAGAACAGUCUUCCUUUCUCAGCAGUGAUCAUGGGCUAUAAUUGAACUAAGGGGCGUGCAUCACCAAUAUUGUCUGUUAAAAACACUCAGUAGCACAUUUAAGUUAAAUGCCCACAGAUGGUACAGACCCUUUCAACAUGAGGAGGUUUGAUUACGUUAGAGGAUCCUGAAAAAGCUUUAGGAUAUAGCUCAAACAUGUUGUUUUUCACACCUGGAUAAUUACUCUUGUGACCAGCCAGACCUGUCUAUAGCUGUGCCUUCUCCCCAGAGCGUCAAAGUUGUGUCAUUCUCUUGGUUAUGGCUUGCCUUUAUCUUUAUGUAAUGACUGACAUGUUAUAAGCUAAAGAAAUUAUGUUCAUUAGUGCUUAAAAAGCUGGACUCUUUAGUGUUACACAAAGCACUUACACAAAAAUUGUAUAAGUAAAAAAAAACAUGCAACGACAUGUGAAGUAAACUGGAAGAAAAUGCCCCUCCCUCCUCCUAAUACUAUACCUAUAUAUUCACUCCUCCAGUGAGACUGCCAUUAAGACUGUCACUAUCUCCUUUCACACUUUCAGUUGUUACUUUUAAGAAUGGGAAAGGUUCAUGUUAGAGACAACGCUGCAAAAGAAAAGAAAACCGAGUUUAGGUUAGUACGAGUCAAAGACACCUGGAAGCGGAAGCUGGGGAAGAAGGUCAAUAAAAACAAAGUGGACUGUGUCUCUGCUGCAAAAAUCUUUGAAACUUCCACCGUGAAGGACACCACGUGGACAGUGAUCAGCCCCAUUACCUUCACUUACAAGGUAACUGAGACUCGAGGCUUGCUGGACCCGAACAGCGACACCCUGCUGCUGGGGCACAUCACCGACCCACAGCAUCUGGAGGAAAUCAAAGCGUUGAACAAGCCACUCAAGCGCUUCGUGGUCGUUGACCAAGAAGUCUACAAAAUCUAUGGGGCCAAGAUAACAGAGUACCUAGAGUUCCACAAUGUCCUGUACAAGAUCCUGGCUCUGCCCACGACUGAGGAGAACAAGUCGAUGGAAGUGGCCUUGACUAUCCUUGAAGAAGUGAACAACUUCUGCCUCGACCGCCGCACGGAGCCCAUCAUUGCCAUUGGUGGAGGGGUCUGUCUGGACAUCGUGGGCCUGGCUGCCUCUCUCUACAGGAGACGCACCCCUUACAUCAGAGUCCCCACAACGCUGUUGUCCUACAUCGACGCGAGCGUGGGCGCAAAGACGGGGGUCAACUUUGCAAACUGCAAGAAUAAGCUGGGCACCUACAUUCCACCCACCGCUGCUUUCCUCGACCUGUCCUUCAUACAAACUCUUCCCCGACGCCACAUCUGCAAUGGUGUGGCUGAGAUGCUGAAGAUGGCCUUGAUGAAACACAGAGGCCUCUUUGAGCUCCUUGACAAACAUGGCAGAAUGCUCUUGGAAACUAAAUUCCAGGAUGCUGGAAGUAUUUAUGGGCAAAGCAGUUUCCAGGCUGCGUCACGAGCAACUCGCAUAGCCAUCACAACCAUGCUGGAGGAGCUUGCCCCUAACCUCUGGGAAGACGACCUAAACAGGCUUGUGGACUUCGGCCACCUUAUUAGUCCAGCGUUAGAGAUGAAAGUCCUGCCAUCACUGCUGCACGGUGAGGCAGUGAACAUCGACAUGUCGUACAUGGUUUAUGUAGCUCAGGAGUGCGGCCUGUUGUCAGAAGAUGAGAAACAAAGGAUCAUCCGCUGCAUGGUCGGCCUGGAGCUGCCCGUGUGGCAUGAGGAGGUCACCAUGGAGCUCAUACAGAAGUCCCUGCAAGACAGGCUGAAGCACUCUGGGGGCCUGGUUCGAAUGCCGCUGCCUGUGGGUCUUGGUCAAGCAGAAAUCUUUAAUACCACAUCUUACGAGAUCCUGCACAGAGCUCAUGAGAAGUGGUGUGGGGAGCUGAGCAUGUCUUCUCACAGCAGCUGUGACCCUUAACUGUAUCAGUUGAACUUUAGAGAAUAUUUUUCAUUUUGAAGGGAAUUGUGUGUUGUAUAUUUUAGUUGUUUAUAAUGUUGGGAAGAAUAGUACUGACUUAUAUUACUGUGUAUUAUGGCAACAAAAUCUAAAUGAUUUGUCUAAAAAUUUCAAUAGGUUGGAAAUUUUUUCAUAUCACAAACAUAUUUACAUACAUUUUUGUUAACAGUUCAAAACAAGUGGUUUUAUAAUUGUCACCAAAUGAUUCAUCAGCUUUCUAACUGUUUGCUACUUGACUGUGAACAUACAGUAUAAGCUUCAAUAAAUGUUUUUGUGUUUAUGAAAGAGUGUGCA